rfam:Myotis davidii contig94376, whole genome shotgun sequence.
GGCAGUUCUCGGGUGAUGCACCCUGGAAUCAGUCUCCCUCCUCUCUGGUUCUGGGUGCACCGCCCAAGAACCUCA